rnacentral:ncRNA from 2 species
GUAAAUUAUUAGCUCUGAAUUAAAAAACCUAAGGGAAACUAUGGUCUUUUAAUCUGGGUGCUACUGGAAACGGUUGUGCCUCCCGUGUUUGGAAAGGAGAUAUAUUACAUGUUUUU